GACGAACGCUGGCGGCGUGCUUAACACAUGCAAGUCGAACGGAAAGGCCCUGCUUGCAGGGUGCUCGAGUGGCGAACGGGUGAGUAACACGUGGGCGAUCUGCCCCUUACUUUGGGAUAAGCCUGGGAAACUGGGUCUAAUACUGGAUAGGACCAUGCUGUAGGUGGUGUGGUGGAAAGAUUAGUUUCGGUAAGGGAUGAGCUCGCGGCCUAUCAGCUUGUUGGUGGGGUAAUGGCCUACCAAGGCGUCGACGGGUAGCCGGCCUGAGAGGGUGGACGGCCACAUUGGGACUGAGAUACGGCCCAGACUCCUACGGGAGGCAGCAGUGGGGAAUAUUGCACAAUGGGCGCAAGCCUGAUGCAGCGACGCCGCGUGGGGGAUGACGGCCUUCGGGUUGUAAACUCCUUUCAGCCAUGACGAAGCCCUUGUGGUGACGGUAGUGGUAGAAGAAGCACCGGCUAACUACGUG
rnacentral:rRNA from 1 species